rnacentral:lncRNA from 1 species
GUUCCCUUUCUUCUUAGAUUUUUGAAACCAAAAACAGAAAACAAAAGCAAUAUAAAAAUAGGCCCCUAGUUUUUGUGCUCUUGCAGUAUUUCCUUGCUUAUAAAAUGAUGAGAACAAGAUUAGGUUCAUAAUGCAUUGAUUGUUAGCACAAGGCUACCCGGGUACCCCCAUCUUAAGCAACUUGGCAACUUGGGCUUAUAGCAGUCAAAUGGGAUAGGCCCAGAUUCGGACCACAAAUAAUUGUUUGCCGUUGGGGGCUUAUCUCUGGGCUUUUUGUCC